GGGCCUGUAGUUCAGUGGUAAAACGCCGCAUUCGCAUUGCGGAGGCGGGGGUUCGAUUCCCCCCAGGUCCACCA
rnacentral:tRNA from 1 species